AAGAUAAUAUUACCGAUUUUUAGUCAAUAUCAGUUAAACAGUUCGCCUUUCAAUAUUUGAUUAAGACUAGGGGUGUCAAAAUGAGUCAAAAUUCAUGGGUCAACUCAACUCAAUCCAUGAACCCUAAUGAGUUGAAAAUUUUGACUGAAAUGAGUUGAUGGGUCAAAUGGGUUGAUGAGUCAAUUGGUUUGAUGAGUAAAAUGAGUUGGGUUGUAAUGGUUAAUGGUUUCAAUGGUUUACCCAAUUAACCCAUCAAAUUUUGUAAAAUUGAAUUAAACCAACUAAAAUCUCUAAAUCAAUGCCAAUUUAAGUUUAACCAACACAUCUAAACCAAUUUAAUAAAAUUAAUAUUUUUCCAAAUUUCUUAAAUAUACAAGCGAUGAAAUUGAGAAAAAAUAAACUCGUAAUUUUUCCACCAAAAAACAUAAACCCAUGAUUUUUCCACCAAAAACGUAAACCCGUGAUUUUCCCGCCAAAAACGUAUAUCCAUAAUUUUCCCGCCAAAAACGUAAACCCGUAAUUUUUCCACCAAAAACGUAAACCCGUGAUUUUCCCGCCAAAAACGUAAACCCGUGAUUUUCCCGCCAAAAACGUAAACCCGUGAUUUUUCCGCCAAAAACGUAAACCCGUGAUUUUCCCGCCAAAAACGUAAACCCGUGAUUUUCCCGCCAAAAACGUAAACCCGUAAUUUUCCCGCGAAAAACGUAAAUCCAUAAUUUUCCCGCCAAAAACGUAAACCCGUGAUUUUCCCGCCAAAAACGUAAACCCGUGAUUUUCCCGCCAAAAACGUAAACCCGAGAUUUUCCCGCCAAAAACGUAAAUCCGUUAUUUUUCGCCAAAAACGUAAACCCGAGAUUUUUCCGCCAAAAAGCUUAAACCCGAAAUUUUCCAGCCAAAAAAUGUAAACCCAUUAUUUUCCGGCCAAAAACGUAAAAACCUAUAAUUUUCCCGCCAAAAACGUAAAUCCGUGAUUUUCUAUACCAAAAACGUAAACCUGUAAAAAGUGGAAUCCGUAAAUAUUUUAAGUUUGAUGAUAAUGAAUUAAUAAUGAUAAUUAUUUAUUAUUGUUUUAUAAUAAUAAUUAAUUAAAUUAUUACUUAAUGGGUUAACUCAUUUAACAACUCAACCCAUCAAAUUAAAUGAGUUAUGGGUUGACCCAACCCAUUUUGUUAAAUGGGUUGGGUCAACUCAUAACUCAUUUAAUCCUAAACUCAUUUGAUUAUGAGUUGAGUUGAGUUGGGUUACCCAUUUUGACACCCCUAAUUAAGACCAUGUUUAGCUUAUUUACU
rnacentral:sRNA from 1 species